GCAUGCGUGGAGCAUCACCUACGAAGGGGACAAGGGGUUUCUGGAAAGGCAUUUAUUUCACACAAACCUUGCUUUUCAAAAGAUAUCCGCAAGUUCUGUAAGUUGGCAUAUCCUCUUGUACACUAUGCUCGCAUGUUUGGGUUGGCUGGUUGCUUUGCAAUAUGCUUGCAAAGUUCUUAUACCGGGAAUGACGACUACAUAUUAGAGUUCUUUUUGCCACUUGAUUGUAUUGACGAAGAUGACCAAAAUGCCUUACUGGAGUCUAUAUUAACUCUGAUGAAGCGGUGUUGGACAUGCGUGGAGGGCAGAUUCAUUAAGUUUGGGUUGAUUUCUUCCUUUGCUGUUCCAUCUGGAGGAGGCGUUGGAGAGGAGGCUGUGUAGGUGACUGAAACUUUACCAAAAACACGCAUAUGAUAUAUUGCAUUACUAUUUCUUGCAUUCUUCUUAGCCAGUUCAAGCUUUUGUUAAUAUAGUAUUCUUAUUUACUGAUGAUGCUUUUUCGGUGGUUUUAAGUGGGAAUUGCACAUGCUCAUGGUUUUGAUUGAUUUGGGGAGCAACAUCUUCAACAAAAGAAAUGAUGUGAUUAGUUCUGUUGACGAACAUGUUGUUUUGCGUUACUAUAAAGUAAAUGGUCAUAUGUGGAUGUCUUAAUUACAAUUGUUACUUCUUGUCAUGAUGCUACUGCUACUAAAUUAGGAUUGGUAUGGCUUGAGUUAUUUGCUUAGUAAUAGCCACAGAAACAUAUGGUCAACUAGAAUUAUUUGCUUAGCAUAGUUUAGUUCUUCAUUAGGGUCACUCUGCAUGCUUUUGAUCGGGGCACAAAACUGUUUAGUAAUGGGACAGGACAUCAUACAAUGAAUGACAUAGAAAGUAUUUAUGCAUAAAAUUGCUAUGCCUCUGUUUCUCGUUGUUUCUGGAUGGAAUUGUUUCAUGGUUUGCAGACCCUCAUAAAAUAUUUAUUUAUGAUUUAUGAAAUGAGGUCUAUCUUUUACUAUUUGUAAAUUCAGAUGCAAUUAGUUAUUAUCCUAUUACACUAAAAGUAUUUUGUUCUAAUUCUAAUGGUUGGAGCAGAGUUGGUAGAUUUUAAUCAUAAUAUAUCUUGUCGGAUCCCUUAUUUUCUAUUUGGCAUUCACUAACAGCUUUACGAGCUGUUUUUUUGUUCAACAUCCUUCUUCAAAACGGUUUAAUGGCUUCAUUGCUGGAGCUUCUUUUUUAUCCUCUCACAAAGGAAUGAGGAUCACAAAUGAAGAUGAGAGAGGUGAAGCUGAAAAAUGUAGCUUUGCAUAGCUCUAACUUAUUCCCCUCUGUCAUGUAUGAAGCUAUUGGUAAAGUUGUAUUGUCAAAUUUUUUUUCCAAAACUGAUCAGCUUCACUGAGAAAGCUGCUCAUGACGAAGCUUAAUUGUGUCAAAUGAGGCUUUAUUUGUAGUGAUUUAUUGUUAUUCCAAUUGUUUUCUUGAGGGUUGCCUGCUGCAUUGUUUGCUGAUCUCAAUUGUUAUUCCAUAAGCGAAUUGAAUGCAUUGAUGUCACUUAUCUUCCCUGAUUGACUGUGGCUGACUUCCUUUACGAUUCAAAUUUCAGAGCCUAGAUGUACCUAGAAUUGAUUGGACUGUCUGAUGCUCGCUUAGAUCACAAGGGGAGUGGCUUCAUUUUGUCAAAUGCUUGGCUUUGAUUGCUUGCUGAUGUGUGCUUGGUAGAGAGCAGAUAUUUUGGUGUACGUCGCUGAGGGAGAGGAACCCAAGGCCUGCACACGUCGAAAACCACCGAGCGCCUCGACCAACUCGACGACGACCUGCACAUAUUCUGCGUCAAGUUCGUCGACGGGGACCACCGCCUCUAGGUCCGUGCUGCUGCCGCCCAUUUCCUGCGUUCCUGCACUUUUGGUCCUGCUUGGAAGCUGGGAUUGGGAGGCAAAUCAUUAGCUAUGGCUAGUAGAACAGUCCCAAAGGCUGGGCAGGCCCUAUUGAACAAACAAUCAUCCGUAUGCUUUCUUCUCAUCUGGGGUGGACAUGUAACAGAGAAGACCUAAUCUGUAUUAUAUGUCAAUGUUCAGUAGUAUGUGUAAAUUGUGAUGUCGUACUUUGAUAAGUUCAAGUGAUUAUUUAGGACCUUCUUGUUGUAUCUGAACACUCCCAAAAGUAUGGCAUUUGGCAGCCAUCAUUCAUUA